GCAAGCCUGAUGCAGCCAUGCCGCGUGUAUGAAGAAGGUCCUUCGGGUUGUAAAGUACUUUUCGAGUCAGUGUAGGAAGGUGGGUAUGGUUAAUAGCAUACUCAUUUGACGUUUAGCUGCAGAAGAAGCACCGGCUAACUCCGUGCCAGCAGCCGCGGUAAUACGGAGGGUGCGAGCGUUAAUCGGAAUUACUGGGCGUAAAAGCGCAUGCAGGUGGUUUGUUAAGUCAGAUGUGAAAGCCCGGGGCUCAACCUCGGAAUUGCAUUUUGAAAACUGGCAAACUAGAGUACUGUAGAGGGGGGUAGAAUUUCUAGGUGUAGCGGUGAAAUGCGUAGAGAUCUGAAGGAAUACCGGUGGCGAAGGCGGCCCCCUGGACAGAUACUGACACUCAGAUGCGAAAAGCGUGGGGGAGCAAAACAGGAUUAGAUACCCUGGUAG
rnacentral:rRNA from 1 species